rnacentral:rRNA from 1 species
CAGUAGCCGCGGGAACACAGAGGGUGCGAGCGUUAAUCGGAUUUACUGGGCGUAAAGCGUGCGUAGGCGGCUUUUUAAGUCGGAUGUGAAAUCCCUGAGCUUAACUUAGGAAUUGCAUUCGAUACUGGGAAGAUAGAGUAUGGGAGAGGAUGGUAGAAUUCCAGGUGUAGCGGUGAAAUGCGUAGAGAUCUGGAGGAAUACCGAUGGCGAAGGCAGCCAUCUGGCCUAAUACUGACGCUGAGGUACGAAAGCAUGGGGAGCAAACAGGAUUAGAUACCCGCGUAGUCCCUGUCUCUUAUAA